AGCAUACUCUUUUUCCCUAUCGAGAUAGACUUCUUAUGUUUCAACACCCUUCAUUUGUAUCUUCAUUAACUGUGUUUUGAGAGUGUAUUCACUGGAAGACGUGUGAGGAGAGUAGGCACGUUCUAGAGAGAGCCAGACUUCACGUGAUGUAGUAGUGCCUUGAACAUGUGGGAAGGCAGCCUCUGAGAUUGUAGAGAUGAUCAACAUCCUGACAUGGGCAUCAUUAGAAAUCCAAAUCGGAUAGUUAGGGUUUGGCUAAGAUUUAGUGGUGGCUUCUUUUUCUGAAGUACUCGUAUUUUCAAUUGUUUUCCAGUGGGCAAGGAAUGGUACUAUCGACAUAACCAAUGAGAUUGUUUGUGACAAGAAAAGGAUGAAUCAUGGUUUUCCAAAAACAAUAGAGCCAUUGUACAUUCGAAGGUUUAGAAGAAGGAUUAGAAGGAUGGUGGCCAUUAGGGUUGCCGAGAAUUAUGCUAUGAUACCAAGACAAACUUGGCCAAAUAUUGUGUAUUAGUAUUAUAUCAAUAAUCACUUACCUAAGGAGUAUAUAUAGAUCAUACAAUUACACUAUGCAUCCCUAUAAUACUAAACUAUUUUAUAAUUGUCUAAUAGUCAGCUAUCAUUACACUUUCAGAUGAACCAGAUUUGUCUGUCCGGGCCGGUCCAUUAGGUUUUAAUACCCAGGGCAAGAUAAGAAUUUCAUGCCCUUUUAUACGUACCACACAAUAAGCAAUACGUAUAAAGAAUUUAUAAAAAGAUAAAUGUGGUAAAUUUUACAAUAAAAAAAAAAUAAAACAAGCAAAAACCUACAAAAAUAACCUAAAAUGAUGUCUUCAUACAUUUUUUUUACACAAAAACAUCUCUUAUUUUACUUUAUGAUAGUCAAUAUUUUGUACUUUAUGAUGCUUGAAAAGCUAAUCCUUCCAAUCUUUCUUAAAGAUACAAUUUCAAGAGAUUAAAUUUUAUAAAAACCACAUUUCGUUAUAUUUUGACUUCUUGUUUCUACUUUUCACAUGCCAAGAGACCUGAAAAAUGAAUCAUAGAAUCAAAAAUAGUAAUCUGUUUUUAAAAUUACCAUCAAAUAUUAACAAUAAAAAUAAUUUAUACCUUUUAUUGCCUCUAGAAGUCCACAUAUUUAAAAUAAACGAGAGCCAAUUCAUAUCACAGAAACGAAAACACAAAAGUUUAGAAAGAACAUUUACAAAUUUAUAGCAGAAGUAAACAAUAGAUAACAAAUGGUCACAAAUUGUACACGAAGGCUGAAGCAAACCAUUUCAAAAAUCAGAUACAAAUCAACAGAUUUCAAUCUCAAACUAAAGAGAAGUCAGAUAUAAAAAUCCAAUAGAUCUUUCAGACAUUGACUCUUUUUUGCUGUAAUAAAAUAGAGAAAAAAUAAAAUAGAUAAGAACAAAGUAGAUUUCUGAAUCAAACCUAAAUAAACAAAAUUUGAACUAAAAUAGAGAAAAAUCGAGUCUAGUAAAACUUGAACAAGCCAUUCAUUACAACAACCAACAAGAAUCAAUUUUAUUUCUGAAACAAAAAGCAAAAACACUAAAGAUAAAUCACUUCAAAAAACUAGAAUGAGAACAAGAAAAGGAAAUCGGAAUAAGAGAAAUUGAACUCAUCUAGAUCAGAAUCACACCCAAAUAAGAGUCGUUGUAUCAUAACAAUGUAUCUUGGACCUAGAAUGCUUGCAAGUUGAAUCACGAUCUUUAACCAUAGAGAAAUCAGAAAUUAGAAAACAUAACUUGAAAAAUAAAGAAAUUGGAAUGUUUAGAAACUAGAAAUCAGAGAAUCAGAAUAACUUAAAGAUUGAAUUGAAACUUGGGAGCUAUAUAUUAUCGACUGAAUAUGAAAAAUUCAGAAAUCGAUUCUUACUCUUUAUUUAUCAGAGACAUAAGGUGAUUCUAGGGCAUCAAAUUCUCCAAUCGAUAACAACAUGUUUCAAAGCGCCGGACGUUUGGAUUUUCUAUACGCAAUUGAUGAACGCUCGAUGAUUGUCUGGCGCCUAAGGUUUUCUUGCCCUGCUUUCUCACGUCCUGACAGAUCACAAGAUAUGGGGCUAUUUUUUGGGCCACUUUAUAUGUAAAAGAACCAUAGCUGGAUGCCCCCAUAAACUUCCUACCCUGGGCCUAAGCCCAAGUUGCCUAGGUACUGGGCCGGGCCUGCGAGUGUAUGUCGUUAUAACUAGUUAAUCUUGCUAUGAUGUCAUCAGAAAAGUUGCUCAACAUUAGAUAUCAUGUCUCUGGAAAAUUAUGAUGUCUAUCAACAUUAAUAGCCCUUGUUUUAGUUCUUUCUGGAUUCCAGUAAAAAUAGUCACACAUGACAAAUGGUUUUCAAAUUCUUCCACGAUCGAUUGAGGAUCCAUAAAACUACGGCUGCCAUUUCGCUGCUCCCAGUAGACAUGCAAGGGAGGUUCAGAUGAUGAAGCUUUUAUACUUGCAUUAAUGAGUCUUGAUUUGUUCUUUGUUAGGAAUGUAACAAAAUAAGAUGAUAUAUAGCACUUGUAUGUCAUAUUUUUCAAGUAAAUGUUUAAGAUAAGAAAGACCCUGAUUACUAACCUGCU
rnacentral:lncRNA from 1 species